rnacentral:rRNA from 1 species
AGCGGAGGAAAAGAAACUAACAAGGAUUCCCCUAGUAACGGCGAGUGAAGAGGGAAGAGCCCAAGUUUGAAAGCUGGCGUCUUCGGCGUCCGCAUUGUAAACUCGAGAAGCGUUUUCCGCGCCGGACCAAGCUCAAGUCCCUUGGAAUAGGGCAUCAUAGAGGGUGAGAGUCCCGUACUUGGCUUGGAGUCCCCGGGGCUUUGUGAUACGCUCUCCAAGAGUCGAGUUGUUUGGGAAUGCAGCUCAAAAUGGGUGGUAAAUGCCAUCUAAGGCUAAAUAUCGAGGAGAGACCGAUAGCGAACAAGUACCGUGAGGGAAAGAUGAAAAGAACUUUGGAAAGAGAGUUAAACAGUACGUGAAAUUGCCGGAAGGGAAGGGUAGGGAGUCAGAUAUGCUGUGCGGAUUCAGCCUUGUCUUUGGACUUGGUGUAUUUUCGUAUUGGCAGGCCAGCAUCGGUUUGUGCCGCUGGAUAUAGGCUUGGGGAAUGUGGCUUUGUCUUCGGUCAAAGUGUUAUAGCCCCUUGCUGAGUACAGCGGCAUGGACCGAGGCACGCAGCGCACCCUCUGGGCGGGCCCUCGGGCACCUUUGCGCUUAGGAUGCUGGCUUAAUGGCUCUCUGCCACCCGUCUUGA